GAAAAAUGGAGAUGUUAACAUUUUUUACUCUUCUAUAGUUGGAUACGUUUAUUCAAUCUCAUUAUUGUUGAUAACAAAACAGAAACAAUAUAUAAGAGUGAACGAACUUUAGUACUUUUUAAAAACUUUCACCCAACAAACAAUGAUGGUGUCGCAGAUCAUUAUCGACGUGCGAGGAAUCGUUUAGAGCAACAUUGUCAGCAUUUACACGUGAAGAAAACAAACACACUUUAACAAUUUCAAAGGAGUGGACGGACUUCCGGACAUUUACAAAAGAUUGCAAAAGAUCACCAAGGAGAAAGCAAUGCAAAGGAACCUGUUUCGGCAUUAAAUGAUUUUAUCCUCGAUGGCUUGUGGUGUCACGUACUACAAAGAUAAGGGCAAAAGGAAAAAAGGGUAUCUUAUCUUGAAGGACACAGAAUUCACAUAGACUUUUUAGAACUCGGUCUAUUUUUACGGUUAUUUUUCUCAUUUUCUGAAUGGAAAUUUAACUUGAAAGUAGGGAUCUCCGAGGGCUAUUUAGUUUAAAUCUCCUUAAAGCUAAAAAUUCG